rnacentral:lncRNA from 1 species
UUUUGGGGAAUUAAUGAAUUAUGUAUUCCCAUUACCAGAUUAAUUAAUUAAUACGGCCAUAAGUCAGAUUGAAUACAUGAAAUGUAUGCGGUCUGAGUGCCCCAAAAUUAAGUUAAAAGUUAUAACAACCAAAAAUUAUAAAUCAAAACAAUACAUUGUAUAUACAUGUAAUCUUAUCAUUGUUAUCACAUGUAUCAUACUACACUAC